GGAGAGGUGCCGGAGUCUGGUUUAUCGGGGCGGUCUCGAAAACCGUUGUAUCUUCGGAUACCGGGGGUUCGAAUCCCUCCCUCUCCG
rnacentral:tRNA from 1 species